AUUAGUUAAGGCUUUCUGACUAUCAUGUGCCACACGUAAUUCUGAAACCACUGAUUUACAUCACUGGCCUCUGCUGACGCUGGCGUGCAUCUUCUAGGAAUGGACACUUCGUGCUCUUUGUGACACACCUUUACGGGGGACAGAGGAAGCCGGAGCAUCCCACCGCCCGUACCUGCUGUCCCUAAGGGCGCCUAUGGCUGACAACAGGAGCGACAGAGCAGCACCAUGGUGAGCCAGAACCCAAACAGCAGACCAGGAUGGGCUCAGCAACCAUCAGCUGGUGCAAAAAUAGUCCAAACUUGAGACAGCUGGGCCAAGUUCAGAAGAAGAGUUUGAAGACCUGUGUGAGGAGGAAGAACCAAGAGCUGUGUGUGUGAGGGUGCAGAAGUGGUGGAACUCCAGUUGCUUUUGUGCCUGUCAAAAUGUGGUAUAAAACUGUGCACCAGGCCAGGUUCUGUCCAGUGUCAAAGAAAGAAAUACUGUUCUUGAUAAAAAGAUGUUAACAAGACAGUAUUUUCUUCAUGCUGCAAGCAGGGAUAGAAAACUGCUAAA